GUCAAUGGUCAUAAAGAAGGCUCGGCUCAUCUACUUGCAAACAGGAAGUUGUACAACAAAUGCAAAAGUAACGUACUCCAUUUAAAUAAAUUGUAUACUCUUCGGUCAUGAUUUUGAGAAGAAAAGAGUAGCAAUUAGUACUUUGAAGAGCUAUUAUCCAAUACAUAAUUUGAACUGCAGCCUUCAAAACUACACAGGCACUUGAAAUGCAUGCUGGCAUAAAUGCAUCUGGUUUUCAAAAUGUUCUUUGAGAGGAUUCUCUUAGGCUGGCAGCGCUGAUGCCCGAUUUUCCGUAUCAGCUCACGUGGACGCCGUAUACUGACUACGUGGACACAACUGAAAGCAGAGUGCGGUCCAGGUUCUUCCCGGACGGGUGCGCUUUGUUACAUCACACUGGAGGCGACAGUGACACUGAAAUCUUACGUGGCAU